GGGGCGGCCGCGACCUCCCGGGCUCCCGCAAGGCGCCGUGCGCAUGGCCGCCCGUGCACGGUUGUGGGGUCCGCCAGGGCUGCGCGGUGGCCGGCGGGGACCUCACACCUCUGCUGGGUGGCUGUGAACCGGGGAGACUGCGUCAUGCGGUUGCAUCGUAAGCCAGGCCUGCACCGCGCUGAGCCCCAGCGUUGUAAAACGCCCAUGUCGGUGGUUGGCCCGGAGCAGACGCUGUGUGUGUGCUGGCUAAACACGAGGAACCUGCCCCGCUUAAGGUGUCCGCUGCCGAGGUCAAGGCGGCUACGGUGAACCGCGCUGACGGCUGGACUUUGAAAAACUAACUUGCAUUUCAGGAAAGAAUAGGAAAACACAGCACCCUGGCGUGGCGGCGCGGGCCUUAACCCCAGGCAGUCCGGAGGCUGAGGCAGGAGAAUUGCUGCGGGUUCCAGGCCAGGCUGAGCUGCACAGGGAGACCUGUCUCAGAACAGCCCUCCCUAGGAGACAGUGCAAAGCGGCGGGAGUUACGUGUGUUUUUCUCAAAUCUUUGGCGCGGUAGUGUUUGGACAGGAAGGAAGGAGAGGGGAAAUGAGUGUGAAAUAACAAAGGAACACGGUGCUGGAAGGCCUGAUUGCUGGGACGGACGUGUUCAUUAACUGAGCCGCUCAGGGGGCUGGGGUGGCACUUUGCAAAUGCAAACGGUGACCGUGAGCACGACAGAGGCCUCCAGGGCUUCCCCAAACAGGCCAAUGGUGCCCGGUGUAUUUUACCACAUGCUAAUGUUUAGAAAAGGCGCGAAUUUUUGCGAUCUGGUGUGUGGUGACUUUCACGCCACCUGGGAACUUUCUGGGCGUCAUAACAGAAGAGGGCCGGAAUUUAGUUUAGUGAUGCAGCCACUGCCUGGCAGGUGCAAGGUUCUGAGUUCGCCUCCGGUGCGAUUCCUGGUACCAAGCAAACAGUGCAUUGACCCAUUAUGCUUGGUAGCACGGGUUUAAUAAAUACGCCUUUGUUAAGCCAGGAUUUCCCUGUGCAGUUCAGUAGUACAGGCUGGCCUUGAACUCACAUGGGUCCUCCUGCCUCAGCCUUCUGAGUGCUGUAAUCACAGGUUUGUGCCCCACUCCUCUUGCUCUCUGAGCCUGAUGCUGGACUCUGCACACCCAUCAGACACAAACCCAUCGGAGGCUUUGGUUCGGCACUGGGACCCGAAGAGGUGGCCCAGCACCCACAUCCUGCUGGCGGGGGUGGGGAGGGGACGGCCUCGCGGGUUCCAGCAUCUCCGGGUAGCACCGUGCAUUGGUGACCUGUGGCUGUUACCCUGCCAGCCCGCCCCUCGCGGCGGAAAUGCCACAGCUCUGAGGCGAUGCGCGGCCUGACCUGCAGCCCCAGCGCCGCCCCUCCCCCAGCCAGUUCCUAAACUGGGCUCCCCCACCCCGCGCGCCCCCUCCGCGUUUUACACGCUGUAACCCGAGAGGCGGCGAAGGCCGCUUCUUUCAUCUUCCAUUUCCCACAUUCUGAAAGUCGGAGAGACGGAGCCCACCCAGAGAAAGGAAUCCCAAGUAUGCGGCCCCCUCCAUCAGCUCCAUUCACAAGGCAGAUUAAGGGGGGCCGGGCUCGCUAGGCCUCCCGCCCUGCCCCCACCGCCCGGUCGCCUCCCCACACCCCGGGCUCCGGAGCCCCAGUCCACAAGCUUCCAACCAAAAAUUAACUUUUCUCUGGACUCCGACCCAAAGGAAAGCGGCCCGGCUGCACCCCGACACUGCAGCCGCAGGAUUUCCACUAACCCGCCUCUGUGCCCUCUUUAUUUUAUUUUAAAUGUUUUUUAAAAGACAGGGUCUCACCACGUAGUUCAGGCUGUCUUUUAACUCACUGUGUAGUCUAGGCUGGUCUCGGACUAGCCAGGACACUCCCGCCUCAGCCUCCCAAGUGCCGGGAUUACAGGCGUGCACCCCACUGCACCCGGCUGAAGGUUAAAGUGUUGGGGAAUGGUAAUUUGCGCUCACUCUCCUUCAGGGGAUGGGGAAGAUGCUUUGAAGCCAGACGGGCUCGGCGAUCAUCAGGUCCCUGAGGCUUGCAGUGAGGCAGCUUUUGGGCUGGCCCGGCGGGCUGAGGUCAGCGAGUAUAUUUACCGGAUUACUAACCCGGUUGAAGCCUCAGCCCCCUGCUCCGUGAGCAGGAACCCGGGCGGAAUGAUUGCUCAGAACCUUCCCAGAUCCCAGGAACUCGGGAAGCCUGGCCUGGGAAACCACCGUGACCUUCAGAGAAGCCUGACUCUGUCCCCCGCAGCCACAGGAUCUGUGCCUGCACCCAGUGAGUGUCCUAUCGGGCCUCAGUGUCACCCUGGCAAAUAUUAGGGCUCCUCGAUAAAGCAGGGUGUGAGCCCGGGCCAGCAGCUCUGCUCUGGAACUAAUGGGGCCCCGGACUCUUCGCUGUGUUCCCUCGAACUGAAACCCCUUAGCCCGUUCCCGGUGAAUCCCACAUACGUUUAUAACCGGAGCCACUGGCCUGCGCUCAGGAGCCAGGUCUGCUUUCUACUGCUGGUUUCUAAAAAGAGUUCUUACUCUCUGCCCCCCGGUUUUCUUCUUCUAUGUCCAGUCCUAGUAUGUACUGUGUCUCUUCUAGCCGAGGCUGGCCUCAAACUCAGUGAUCCUCCUGCUUCAGCCUCCUGAGUGCUGGGAUUAAGAAUGCACAGCUGGGGUCUGGGGAUUUAGCUCAGCGGUAUAAACGCCUGCCUUGCAAGCAGGCAGUUGUGGGUUCAAUCCCUGGUACUGAUAAAAACAAAAAAGACAAAAAAAAAAAAAAAAGCACAGCUGUGCCCUGCAAGAAACUCACAUAGGGAGCUUUUCUACAAUCCCCAUACUAUGUGCUUAUUUUGUAUUACAGGGGAUGGAACCAGGGCCUCCUGCAUGCUAGGUAAACAUUACCACUGAGCUACAUCCACUACCCUUUUUGAGUCAGUGGGCAUCUUUCUAAAUUGGCCUCAUUGGCCUUGAACCUGUAUUCCUCCUGCCUCAACUUCCCAGAGGGCUGGGAUUACAGGCAAGCACUGCACCUGGUUUGACAUUCCAGAUUACAUUUUGUUUGUUUCAUUUGUUUGCUUGUCUUAUCUUUUUGAAACAGGGUCUCACAAUGCAGUUCAGGCUGGCCUUGAACUCACUAUGUAGCGGAGGCUAGCUUUGAAUUUGCAGCAAUUCUCCUGCCUCAGCCUCCUGAGUGCUGGGAUUACAGGCAUGCACCAACACACUUAGCUAUAUAUAUAUUUUUAAAAUGGUUUUCUUGCUGGGAAUUUAGCUCAGUAGCAUAAGCUCCUGCCUCGCAAGUGCAUGGUCGUGAGUUUGAUCCCCAGUGCAAAAAAAAAAAAAAGUUUUUCUUUUUCUUUUUUUGAAGGGGGAGGUACAAUUUCAAAUAUGUAAAAACAGUAGACAAAAAUGUAACUGUGUAUGUGGCAUUCUGGAGGCCCUGGGUUCUAUCUCAAGAGUAAAAAAGAGCAAAAGGAACCAUUCGUGCUUGUGCUGUGCAGAGCCAAGGAAGCGGCCGGCCGGGGUGAUUUGGGUCCCUUGGCCGCUUUGGCUGUGGCCUGGCAGUGAAUCCUGAUCACGGCCAGGUCCGCCCGCAGCUGGUGCUGUGCAGAGUGCUCCUCCUGGGCCGGCUGAGCCUGGAACUCUUGGAGGAUUAAGGCAACAGAAGACACCAAACCAAGCUGAGAGAAGGACUCUGCAGGACCAGAACUCAGCCCAACAACCUGGGCAUGAAGCCGCAGCUAGGCCUGAUGCUCAUGCGAGACGGCCUGGCGGCAGGCAGGACUGCAGCACUGCGGGGCUGUCAGGGCUGCAAGGCCCCAGCUGUGAGACCUGCGAGGAGGGGAAGAUCCGCUGCCCCAGUUCCUGCUUUCAGAAGCUGAGCGACUGUUACCCCGCCGGCCUGGGUUUGGCAGAGCCCAGAUCGGGUGGCUCACCUCGGGGACUCUAUAAGGCCGGCUGAGGAGGGAGCAGAAGGUGACAGCCAACGACUUGGCCACCCAUGCACCUGGAGCCUCUGCACUGCUGUGGCUACCGUGGCUCCCGUGGCUCUGGAGGCUGGGAAAGGCCUUCCUGGUCUGUAGCCUCUGCUAAGUACCUGGGCUGAGUGCUCUGCCCGGAGCCUGCCCCACACCGUACCGUCUCCUGGGAUCUCAGGCUUCAGCACCGAGACUGAACCGAGGGCCUUCACGCUGAGCGACAUCCCCAACACUUUUAAGAAAAUUUUAUAUUGACUUCAGCAUGUGGGAGGCUGAGGCAGGAAGAUCACUGCGACUUUGAGGAGUUUGACACCACAUUGGGCUACAGCGUGAGUUCGAGGUCAGCCUGUGCUCCUUAGCCAGAUGCUGUCUGGAUAAAAUCAAAAUAAAUAAAAUAUUUGAUGGCAA